CCGGGUUUAGGUUUUUGGAGCUGUGGAGGAAGCCGGGGGCAUUUAUUCUGCGCGUGGAGGGAGGAGAGAAGGUGGGCAGCGGCAGAAGAAGGCGGGUGGUGCACAAGGGCAACCAGUUUCCCUCGGAGGGACCGGCCCCUUCAUUUCCAAGCCCCUUCCCUCCCCUCCUUCUCUUUCUCCGUGUCCCUUCCUCCCUCCCUCCUUUUCCCCAUUCAUUUUCUCCUCCUCUUAUUUUUUUCCUGCUUUUUUCCUUCCUUCCCCCCUCUUCCCUAAAUGGAGGCCGGGCGGAGGUCUGUGAACCUGCAGCUUUUUAUAGGAAAGACGCCGAGUGUAUCUGGCGCCGACAGAAACGAGCCCUGUUUCUGAAACAGCGGAGGGUCAGGUGGGCGGCAGAAUGCAGAGGGAACACUUGCGCUUGGGAGAGGCCUUGGCGCUGUAACUGGCCAUAACUGACGCCUCCCAGAACACCAAGGGUGGCCCAGUGGAGACCAUUAUCAAGAUAAUUAGACAAAACCCGAACUUCCUGCCACCCAGGAAGAAUCCCUUCUCUGCUGUCAGACUUCAAAGUCCACCAUCAACUGCCUGUUCCAGAUAAGCCCUGGCUCGCGGAGACCCAGCCUCAUCGCCAGGCAAUCUGCCCUGCCUCGGAAACACAACAGACACUGCAGAAAAUCACUUGAUUCUGGAACAAAAAUCAAUAUAAGAAUUAGAUUUAUUGUCUGCUUAUGUGAUUAAAAAUGACAAAGUGUUGGCUUUUAUUUUCAUAAAAAAGACAGAAGGCUGAACAAAAUAAUUUACGAUCUCGAUCUCGAAUCCUGCUCCUUUCAUUUGCCUGGAAACACCCGGA